UGCUUUCCGCCAGAGAACUACAAGUGAAAAACUUGAAACUCAAAGGACUUGGCGGUGUCCCAUAUCGGCCUAGAGGAGCCUGUCCUAUAAUCGAUACCCCCCGUUUCACCCAACCUCCACUAGCACCCAACAGCCUAUAUACCGCCGUCGACAGUCUACCCCAUGAGGGUUUAAUAGUAGACAAAAUAGCAUGCCCGCUAAUACGUCAGGUCAAGGUGUAGCAAAUGUGGCGGAAGAGAUUGGCUACAUUUUUUAUUUUAAAAAACACGAAAGGCACUAUGAAAUCCUGCAUGAAGGUGAAUUUAGUAGUAAAAUAGAUAAGAGUGUCUAUUUUAACAACGCUCUGG
rnacentral:rRNA from 1 species